rnacentral:pre_miRNA from 1 species
AGCCUUCUGAAUUCGCGCAGUGGUUUCGUCAGACAUCAGAGCAUCAGGACUGAUGAGACUCUUAAUAUAGAUGAGGCA